GGAGAGGUGGCAGAGUGGUCGAAUGCACUCGACUUGAAAUCGAGCGUCCCAAAAGGACCGAGGGUUCGAAUCCCUCCCUCUCCG
rnacentral:tRNA from 1 species